rnacentral:ncRNA from 1 species
CAACCGCUGACGAUAGUCGUGAAUGUUG